AUUGAACGCUGGCGGUAUGCUUAACACAUGCAAGUCGAACGAUGAGAAAGAGCUUGCUCUUUCGAUUAGUGGCGGACGGGUGCGUAACGCGUAGGAAUCUACCUAUUAGUGGGGGACAACUUAGGGAAACUUAAGCUAAUACCGCAUACGCCCUACGGGGGAAAGAAGGGGAUCGCAAGACCUUUUGCUAAUAGAUGCGCCUGCGUAGGAUUAGCUAGUUGGUGGGGUAAAAGCUCACCAAGGCGACGAUCCUUAACUGGUUUGAGAGAAUGAUCAGUCACACUGGAACUGAGACACAGUCCAGACUCCUACGGGAGGCAGCAGUGGGGAAUAUUGGACAAUGGGCGAAAGCCUGAUCCAGCAAUACCGCGUGUGUGAAGAAGGCCUUAGGGUUGUAAAGCACUUUCAAUUGGAAGGAAAACCUCGAAGCUAAUACCUUCGAGUUUGACAUUACCUUUAGAAGAAGCACCGGCUAACUCCGUGCCAGCAGCCGCCGUAA
rnacentral:rRNA from 1 species